CAUGGCUGUCGUCAGCUCGUGCCGUGAGGUGUUGGGUAAGUCCCGCAACGAGCGCAACCCUAUUGCCAGUUGCUACCAGGUAAUGCUGGGCACUCUGGUGAGACUGCCCCGGUUAACGGGGAGGAAGGUGGGGACGACGUCAAGUCAUCAUGGCCCUUACGCCUAGGGCUACACACGUACUACAAUGGCGCAUACAAAGGGCAGCGAUACCGCGAGGUGGAGCCAAUCCCAAAAAGUGCGUCCCAGUCCGGAUUGCAGUCUGCAACUCGACUGCAUGAAGUUGGAAUCGCUAGUAAUUCGAGAUCAGCAUGCUCGGGUGAAUGCGUUCCCGGGCCUU
rnacentral:rRNA from 1 species